UACAGAGGGGGCAAGCGUUGUUCGGAAUUACUGGGCGUAAAGCGUGCGCAGGCGGUUCGCUAAGACCGAUGUGAAAUCCCCGGGCUUAACCUGGGAACUGCAUUGGUGACUGGCGGGCUAGAGUAUGGCAGAGGGGGGUAGAAUUCCACGUGUAGCAGUGAAAUGCGUAGAGAUGUGGAGGAAUACCGAUGGCGAAGGCAGCCCCCUGGGCCAAUACUGACGCUCAUGCACGAAAGCGUGGGGAGCAAACAGG
rnacentral:rRNA from 1 species